AAAAUAAAAAAAUGUAAAAAUGAGGCCUAAAUAUUCUAAAUUUGUUUGAAAGCUCCAGAAGUGGGCGCUCCUUCCAUAUUUUGAACUCCAUACAUACAUCUCAAUGUUUUUUGUGCUAAAUUCAUUCAAGAGAAAUGACUUGAAAACAACAUGUACCAACCUUCCAAUGGAGACCGUUACACAUCGUGAUGGACCCUUUUUUUUGUGGUUGGAUGUGAUUUUCUUGUAGCCCACAAGACUCCAACAUUUAAAAUUUUAAGUCAACAUGUGUUUCUUAUGCCAAGCUCUGAGAUAUUAUGAUUCUGAGGCUCUGUACAAAGUUUGGCAU
rnacentral:lncRNA from 1 species